GCGAGGAUGCCCGAGUGGUGCAAGGGGUAGCCUCAAGUUCUACUAUGCAGUGUAUGCACGGGUUCGAAUCCCGCUCCGUGUA
rnacentral:tRNA from 1 species